AUUGAACGCUGGCGGCAGGCCUAACACAUGCAAGUCGAGCGGAUGAAGGGAGCUUGCUCCUGGAUUCAGCGGCGGACGGGUGAGUAAUGCCUAGGAAUCUGCCUGGUAGUGGGGGAUAACGUCCGGAAACGGGCGCUAAUACCGCAUACGUCCUGAGGGAGAAAGUGGGGGAUCUUCGGACCUCACGCUAUCAGAUGAGCCUAGGUCGGAUUAGCUAGUUGGUGGGGUAAAGGCCUACCACGGCGACGAUCCGUAACUGGUCUGAGAGGAUGAUCAGUCAGACUGUAACUGAGACACGUCACACACUCUUAGAGGGAGACGCAGUGGGGACUCUUGGGCGAUGGGCGAGAGCCUGAUACAGGCAUGCGGGGUCUGUGAAGAAGGUCUUCGGAUGGUAGAGCAAUGUAAGUUGGGGGGAAGGACAGUUAGUUAAUACCUUGCUAUUUUGACGUUACCAGCAGAAGAAGCCCCGGCUAACUUCGUG
rnacentral:rRNA from 1 species